CCCUUAGAUGUCCUGGGCCGCGCGCGCGCUACACUGACAUGUUCAACAAGCCUCCUAGUUCGACAGGAUUUGGGAAAUCUUUGAACGCAUGUCGUGAUAGGGAUAGAUCAUUGCAAUUAUUGAUCUUGAACGAGGAAUUCCUAGUAAACGCGAGUCAUCAGCUCGCAUUGAUUACGUCCCUGCCCUUUGUACACACCGCCCGUCGCACCUACCGAUUGAAUGUUUCGGUGAAGAUUCCGGAUAGGACUUUUUUGAUUUAUUUCAAUUUUGUCUUAAAAGCUAUCUAAACCUCAACAUUUAGAGGAAGGUGAAGUCGUAACA
rnacentral:rRNA from 1 species